AAUUGUUCCAUCAGGUUCAGAGGGUUUCUCUUCACUGUCCGUUACUGUUUUCUGGAUGUCAGCUUCAACUGGGCCAGAAAGCUUUUUCAGAAGUUCUUCAGCCAGUAAACGCUCCUGUGGACCCAACAAAAUGCAAGAAAAGUGGAAACAUACACCGGAGAGGCGAUGAAGUUCCUGACACUCAUCAGACGUGAUUACUCCAUCCAGGACGACUCGCUGUGAACCGUUCAGGGCUGUGGAUGUCAUGGUUACCCUGAUAUCAUCAAACGGGAGUUUGUUGCCAGUUUCCGGAGCAGGUUACCAAUCUCCUCAGUAAUCCUCGCGGCUGUUUCUCUGUCCGCCCUGUGAGCACAAGAGGAAACCAACGUCAGGGGGACAUCUCAUGAAAAUCUUCCUGAGUCUCUCCAUCAGUGUCCGACUCCAGUUUGAACAAUGUAAGGCUGAACACCGUUACUGACAAUCCUCAUUUUGGCUGCGUGAGAUUCUCCAGCUUUGUUGUUGUUGAUCAACUGAAGCACGAGCUGUUAAAGCUCCGCCCUCUUCUGGAAAGCCAGCCGGGAGCAGCAGCUCAUUUGCAUUUAAAGGGACACACACAAAAACGGUGUGUUUUUGCUCACACCCAAAUAGGGGCAAAUUUAACAAGCUAUAAUAAAUUAUCUGUGGGGUAUUUUGAGCUGAAACUUCACAGACACAUUCUGGGGACACCAGAGACUUAUAUUACAUCUUGUAAAAGGGGCAUUAUAGGUCCCCUUUAACUGACAUGAUAAAUAAAUGUGCUGUCAAUCAAAAACAUGCUUGUGUAUCAUUGCCAUGUGCAGA